GAUGAACGCUGGCGGCGUGCCUAAUACAUGCAAGUCGAGCGAACAGACGAGGAGCUUGCUCCUCUGACGUUAGCGGCGGACGGGUGAGUAACACGUGGAUAACCUACCUAUAAGUCUGGGAUAACUUCGGGAAACCGGAGCUAAUACCGGAUAAUAUAUUGAACCGUAUGGUUCAAUAGUGAAAGACGGCUUUGCUGUCACUUAUAGAUGGAUCCGCGCUGCAUUAGCUAGUUGGUAAGGUAACGGCUUACCAAGGCAACGAUGCGUAGCCGACCUGAGAGGGUGAUCGGCCACACUGGAACUGAGACACGGUCCAGACUCCUACGGGAGGCAGCAGUAGGGAAUCUUGCGCAAUGGGCGAAAGCCUGACGGAGCAACGCCGCGUGGGUGAUGAAGGUCUUCGGGUCGUAAAACUCUGUUAUUGGGGAAGAACAGAUGUAGAAGUAAAUAUGCACGUCUUGACGGUACCUAAUCAGAAAGCCACGGCUAACUACGUG
rnacentral:rRNA from 1 species